UGUAUUCCACGCUGCAGCCUAACUCACCGAAAUUGUCUUGGGAUAAAAUCAGAGGAAACAGUUUUACCUUUUUCUCUUGGAGAAAAGCAAAAAAGAAAAUGGAUGCUCCUCUAAUUUGCUGGCAUGAUCUCAGGGGCUUCAAUCAAGGAGCGAGGCACUGUUGAUUGCCUAUCCCCUAACUAACACAAACUUUUCACUCUCCCGCGCAGUCUUCAUCAUGCCUUUCCUUGUCAUCCUUGGAAAUACUUCCAAAAGAUCUGUCUGUGAAGCUUGGCAUCUUGUUCCCAAACCGUAGAGCUGCUGCUUCCUCAGAGAAACUGAGGCAGUGGGAGGAAGCCACCUGCCAAAGGCUGUUGUGCAUUCAGGAGUGUGAGAAAAGCACAGCUGGGCUGGGGUGAGUCUCAUGCCUGCCUCUUGGCUGUACCACAACUCCCUUUGCAGCAGAAACAGCAGCCCUCGGUCUACAUUUGGACAGCAUGGACAGCCUGCCCUAAAGUGGGUGCCCAGACCAGGAUGAGGCUUGUGGGCGUGCCUGAAAGAAAACAUUUUCCUCAGGCUGUAGGUUUUACUUCUUGAACGCAUGCAACCAUUUUUAUAUGAAUGAAGAUUUUUGCGGGCACGUUUUUCUCUCUCUCCAAAGCAUCCCGAGAUUCCCCGGUGUCUGCAUGGAGCUGUGCAGUCUAAACUUGGCCCUUCCGGGUUCCGCUGGUGAUUUUGUCUUGGAGAACUUUGGGCACAGCGAUCUCUGGGAUAAUAGCCUCUCUCUCUCUCUCUCUCUUUUUUUUUUUUUCCUUUUUGGAGGGAGUGGCUGAUCAAGUUCCCCUCCUCCUGGCAGAGGUGCCUGGAUGCUGAUAUGCAUUUCCAAAUUAAUGAAUGUCUGCAGAGCACUGUGGGAUGCCCAGAUGAAAGGCAGUGGAGAAGCACAAAGGUCUGAUGCCAGUUUCCAUGGAAACAACAGCCAGGAGCAGAAAUAGGGGAACCAGAAUCCAGAAUUGUAAAGCCUGAAGCUCCUGUUAAUUUCACUCACUGGAUUCCAGGCUGCCACACUCUCUCCCCCCACCCCAAAGAAACUGACAUCAGAUGGGGGAGCUUAGUAAAAGGAUUUUGCUUUAGGACCAAAUUCCGUGUGUGCGUGUAGGUCUGUGUGUGUGUACAAAUGUGUGUGGUUGGAGAUCUGGCAAGAGCUCCCACAGACCUUUGCCCAUUUCUCCCUCCUCUUCCCCCCCAGCUUUUUUUUAAACUCCAACCUUCUUGUUUCUGGAGAACAUUCAGAAAAGCUGUUGGCAGCUGGGCGCAAAACUCCUCCCUUGGCUAUUUCAGUUGCUGGCUGACUUCUAAGGGAUGCAAGUGUCAGGUUCCAAAACCAGCUACAGAUUUGGACCCACCUUGGUUUUCAGGCAGCAGCUGGGCCCUGGGCUAAUGAGCUAACUUGUUCCAGACGGUCUGCAAGUUGUUCCAUUCUGCCUGGGCACCGUAGGAGGGCUGGACUGCAACGCUGCGGUCUGAAUUUUCUGCAGCCAAUCGUGUUCGGAGUGGUCUGGCAGCCAUUUUUCCUCUCUUCCCUUCUACCCCCCCUCCUUUUCCCCAUUUUACAAGGCAAAGAAAGUGCCCCCGGUCUGGUAACUUCUUUAAAAAUCUGGCAUUGUUAAUCACA